CGAGCAACCUGCCUUACAGAGGGGGACAACAGUUGGAAACGACUGCUAAUACCGCAUAAUAUUAUCUUAUCGCAUGGUGAGAUAAUCAAAGAUUUAUCGCUGUAAGAUGGGCUCGCGUCCGAUUAGUUAGUUGGUGAGGUAAUGGCUCACCAAGACCGCAAUCGGUAGCCGGACUGAGAGGUUGAACGGCCACAUUGGGACUGAGACACGGCCCAGACCUCGUACGGGGA
rnacentral:rRNA from 1 species